GAUGAACGCUAGCGACAGGCUUAACACAUGCAAGUCGAGGGGCAGCGGGGGUAGCAAUACCCGCCGGCGACCGGCGCACGGGUGAGUAACGCGUAUGCAACUUACCUAUCAGAGGGGGAUAACCCGGCGAAAGUCGGACUAAUACCGCAUGAAGCAGGGGCCCCGCAUGGGGAUAUUUGCUAAAGAUUCAUCGCUGAUAGAUAGGCAUGCGUUCCAUUAGGCAGUUGGCGGGGUGACGGCCCACCAAACCGACGAUGGAUAGGGGUUCUGAGAGGAAGGUCCCCCACAUUGGUACUGAGACACGGACCAAACUCCUACGGGAGGCAGCAGUGAGGAAUAUUGGUCAAUGGGCGUAAGCCUGAACCAGCCAAGUCGCGUGAGGGAUGAAGGUUCUAUGGAUCGUAAACCUCUUUUAUAAGGGAAUAAAGUGUGGGACGUGUCCCGUUUUGUAUGUACCUUAUGAAUAAGGAUCGGCUAACUCCGUGCCAGCAGCCGCGGUAAUACGGAGGAUCCGAGCGUUAUCCGGAUUUAUUGGGUUUAAAGGGUGCGUAGGCGGCCUUUUAAGUCAGCGGUGAAAGUCUGUGGCUCAACCAUAGAAUUGCCGUUGAAACUGGGGGGCUUGAGUAUGUUUGAGGCAGGCGGAAUGCGUGGUGUAGCAGUGAAAUGCUUAGAUAUCACGCAGAACCCCGAUUGCGAAGGCAGCCUGCCAAGCCAUGACUGACGCUGAUGCACGAAAGCGUGGGGAUCAAACAGGAUUAGAUACCCUGGUAGUCCACGCAGUAAACGAUGAUCACUAGCUGUUUGCGAUACAGUGUAAGCGGCACAGCGAAAGCGUUAAGUGAUCCACCUGGGGAGUACGCCGGCAACGGUGAAACUCAAAGGAAUUGACGGGGGCCCGCACAAGCGGAGGAACAUGUGGUUUAAUUCGAUGAUACGCGAGGAACCUUACCCGGGUUUGAACGCAUUCGGACCGAGGUGGAAACACCUUUUCUAGCAAUAGCCGUUUGCGAGGUGCUGCAUGGUUGUCGUCAGCUCGUGCCGUGAGGUGUCGGCUUAAGUGCCAUAACGAGCGCAACCCUUGCCACUAGUUACUAACAGGUGAUGCUGAGGACUCUGGUGGGACUGCCAGCGUAAGCUGCGAGGAAGGCGGGGAUGACGUCAAAUCAGCACGGCCCUUACAUCCGGGGCGACACACGUGUUACAAUGGCGUGGACAAAGGGAUGCCACCUGGCGACAGGGAGCGAAUCCCCAAACCACGUCUCAGUUCGGAUCGGAGUCUGCAACCCGACUCCGUGAAGCUGGAUUCGCUAGUAAUCGCGCAUCAGCCAUGGCGCGGUGAAUACGUUCCCGGGCCUUGUACACACCGCCCGUCAAGCCAUGGGAGCCGGGGGUACCUGAAGUCCGUAACCGCGAGGAUCGGCCUAGGGUAAAACUGGUGACUGGGGCUAAGUCGUAACAAGGUAGCCGUACCGGAAGGUGCGGCUGGAACACCUCCUUUCUGGAGCUUCAGGAUUCCGUACCGAGGUCAUACGAGGUAUCGAUCGCCUUGUGCUGCUGUUGAGAUUAUGUUUAUAUAUAGAUCUUACAGACCGGAAGGCCGGUCGGAGAGAGAAAGAUGACGUUGGGACGUAAGUCUUGGCAAAGUUGACAGUCCUAUAGCUCAGUUGGUUAGAGCGCUACACUGAUAAUGUAGAGGUCGGCAGUUCAACUCUGCCUGGGACUACUCCGAAUGAGGGGGAUUAGCUCAGCUGGCUAGAGCAUCUGCUUUGCACGCAGAGGGUCAACGGUUCGAAUCCGUUAUUCUCCACACAUCCCGCGAGGGAAAGAGGAUCUUUGACAUAUUGGACAUCAAAAAGAAGAAACAAGUAGAGCGAGCUUAAGAUAUAUCAACCCGUGCGUAUGUACGAGGUGAGAGAAAGUAAGCAAGGGCAGACGGUGGAUGCCUUGGCUCUCGGAGGCGACGAAGGACGUGAUAAGCUGCGAAAAGCCCGGGGGAGGCGCAAAUAGCCCUUGAUCCCGGGAUAUCCGAAUGGGGCAACCCGGCAGGUUGAAGGCCUGUCAUCCCGUAAGGGAGGCGAACGUGGGGAACUGAAACAUCUAAGUACCCAUAGGAGGAGAAAAUAAACAAUGAUUCCGUAAGUAGUGGCGAGCGAACACGGAAGAGCCCAAACCCAUGUCGUCUAGGCGACACGGGGGUUGUAGGACCACGACGUGGCAAGAUAGAGUCAAGUGGAACGCCUUGGAAAAGGCGAUCAUAGAGGGUGAAAAUCCCGUACACGACUGACGAUUGAAGCCUAGUGGAAUCCUGAGUAGCGCGGGGCACGAGAAAUCUUGCGUGAAACUGCGGGGCCCAUCCCGUAAGGCUAAAUACUCCCGAGAGACCGAUAGCGAACC
rnacentral:rRNA from 1 species